rnacentral:rRNA from 1 species
UUAGUUUGAUCCUGGCUCAAAUUGAACGCUGGCGGCAGGCCUAACACAUGCAAGUCGAGCGGUAGCACAGAGAGCUUGCUCUCGGGUGACGAGCGGCGGACGGGUGAGUAAUGUCUGGGAAACUGCCUGAUGGAGGGGGAUAACUACUGGAAACGGUAGCUAAUACCGCAUAACGUCGCAAGACCAAAGUGGGGGACCUUCGGGCCUCAUGCCAUCAGAUGUGCCCAGAUGGGAUUAGCUAGUAGGUGGGGUAACGGCUCACCUAGGCGACGAUCCCUAGCUGGUCUGAGAGGAUGACCAGCCACACUGGAACUGAGACACGGUCCAGACUCCUACGGGAGGCAGCAGUGGGGAAUAUUGCACAAUGGGCGCAAGCCUGAUGCAGCCAUGCCGCGUGUGUGAAGAAGGCCUUCGGGUUGUAAAGCACUUUCAGCGGGGAGGAAGGCGGUGAGGUUAAUAACCUCAUCGAUUGACGUUACCCGCAGAAGAAGCACCGGCUAACUCCGUGCCAGCAGCCGCGGUAAUACGGAGGGUGCAAGCGUUAAUCGGAAUUACUGGGCGUAAAGCGCACGCAGGCGGUCUGUCAAGUCGGAUGUGAAAUCCCCGGGCUCAACCUGGGAACUGCAUUCGAAACUGGCAGGCUAGAGUCUUGUAGAGGGGGGUAGAAUUCCAGGUGUAGCGGUGAAAUGCGUAGAGAUCUGGAGGAAUACCGGUGGCGAAGGCGGCCCCCUGGACAAAGACUGACGCUCAGGUGCGAAAGCGUGGGGAGCAAACAGGAUUAGAUACCCUGGUAGUCCACGCUGUAAACGAUGUCGAUUUGGAGGUUGUGCCCUUGAGGCGUGGCUUCCGGAGCUAACGCGUUAAAUCGACCGCCUGGGAGUACGGCCGCAAGGGUAAAACUCAAAUGAAUUGACGGGGGCCCGCACAAGCGGUGGAGCAUGUGGUUUAAUUCGAUGCAACGCGAAGAACCUUACCUGGUCUUGACAUCCACAGAACUUUCCAGAGAUGGAUUGGUGCCUUCGGGAACUGUGAGACAGGUGCUGCAUGGCUGUCGUCAGCUCGUGUUGUGAAAUGUUGGGUUAAGUCCCGCAACGAGCGCAACCCUUAUCCUUUGUUGCCAGCGGUUAGGCCGGGAACUCAAAGGAGACUGCCAGUGAUAAACUGGAGGAAGGUGGGGAUGACGUCAAGUCAUCAUGGCCCUUACGACCAGGGCUACACACGUGCUACAAUGGCAUAUACAAAGAGAAGCGACCUCGCGAGAGCAAGCGGACCUCAUAAAGUAUGUCGUAGUCCGGAUUGGAGUCUGCAACUCGACUCCAUGAAGUCGGAAUCGCUAGUAAUCGUAGAUCAGAAUGCUACGGUGAAUACGUUCCCGGGCCUUGUACACACCGCCCGUCACACCAUGGGAGUGGGUUGCAAAAGAAGUAGGUAGCUUAACCUUCGGGAGGGCGCUUACCACUUUGUGAUUCAUGACUGGGGUGAAGUCGUAACAAGGUAACCGUAGGGGAACCUGCGGCUGGAUCACCUCCUUA